GUGUAACAAGAAAACAAAUUUAUUGACUUCCAUGUACCACUAGAUUAAGCAGAUAAUCCAUUCAAAAUUUUCACUCAAUUUUUUUUUUUGCUAGAAUCUAUGGAAUGCCAUUGUUUAUGAUGCCAGAUGAUCUGAAAACUAUGCAAAGCUUCACUCAUCCUUCACAAAAGCCAAACCACCAGAAUAAUGACUGGCAAGAAGAAUGGUUUUAAUAAUCCAGGAUCCUCAACCUCAAAGUACCUGGAGUCUGAAAUCUGGUGCUUCCUGCAAGCAAAUAAUCACAGAUUGGCAGCUUAUGUCCUACAAUGGUGAUACUUGGAUAUGUACUACUGGUCCUUCCUGAAGAGAACUUGAGAAGUUUUCAAAGAGAAACAAUAUUCAGGACCAAUAUAUGUGCUUGACUAGGAGAGGCAAGAAGAGAGACUAUUUCAGAGAAUGGGGCCACCAUGCUAAUUACUCUUCCUAGGUGCCAGAGUUACUGUCUUCUUGCAUUAGCUAUGCUGAGCUUCUGCAGUUCUUGAUGUUAAUUUUAUGCAGUCUGUGUUGGUGAGCCAUGAGGAAGGACAAGGAGAAGUACAGAAAGGAGAGUGUUGCCCCUCUUAUAGUCUUGAAUACUCCAGUGCCCAUUUGAUAUUGGCAGAUAUUUGAACACUGACUCAUUUAACCUGUUUCUGUCAUCUCUAGGAGGCAUGUGCUUCUUUAUAGCUUGGGGGUAACUGGGAGAACAUCAUAACGGUUCCUACUUCUCCAGCCUACAAAUGGAGCCUUUGGGAGAGAAACAUCCCAAGCAGUGCCUUGGCUAGUGGACGCUCUUCUUUGUCCAGCUGGGAUCCAACACCAACUGGGUUCCCUUGAUGUCUACAAAUGGUAGACCUUCUUGGAGCAUCAUGCGAAUAGCCUCAAAGGACUGUUUAUUUGGCACAAUGACGAGAACUUAUUAGUUUACAAUUUUAAUACCCC
rnacentral:lncRNA from 1 species